CAUUGUCAUAAGCAUGUAGAAUAAGAUAUUCACAAAUGGACUCCUCCAAUGGGUUCAUCUAUGGGUGGUCUCAAGCAAACCUCCCUGUUGCAUUGGUUAAGCUUCCUCUAUCCUCUUUGGCUUACACCUCACCCGUGAUCUUUAUUUUACUCUUCUGGAACUGAGUCGAAAGUGAUUGUCUGGCUGUCCUUUCUGCAAUCAUCAAGAAGGGUCCUGAUCGCUCACAUUUGGGAACUCUGAUUGCAUUUCUUGUCUAAUUCUUUUCUUUCCACUGCUCCUCAUCAAGCCAAUUCUCUGGCUCAUGCUUUACAUUCUGCUAGUGACAUGGUUUGCAUUGAGAAGGUGCCUAAUGAACUAAUGGCCCUUGCUUUUAUUGAUGUUUCUUCUGAUUAGCC
rnacentral:misc_RNA from 1 species